UGAAUGAUCAUCCUACAUAUAUCUUACUC
rnacentral:piRNA from 1 species